CUGAACCAGCCAAGUAGCGUGAAGGAUGACUGCCCUAUGGGUUGUAAACUUCUUUUAUACGGGAAUAAAGUGAGGCACGUGUGCCUUUUUGUAUGUACCGUAUGAAUAAGGAUCGGCUAACUCCGUGCCAGCAGCCGCGGUAAUACGGAGGAUCCGAGCGUUAUCCGGAUUUAUUGGGUUUAAAGGGAGCGUAGGCGGGCGCUUAAGUCAGUUGUGAAAGUUUGCGG
rnacentral:rRNA from 1 species